UGCGCAGGCGGUUGAGUAAGACAGAUGUGAAAUCCCCGAGCUUAACUCGGGAAUGGCAUAUGUGACUGCUCGACUAGAGUGUGUCAGAGGGAGGUGGAAUUCCACGUGUAGCAGUGAAAUGCGUAGAUAUGCGGAAGAACACUGAUGGCGAAGGCAGCCUCCUGGGACAUAACUGACGCUCAGGCACGAAAGCGUGGGGAGCAAAUA
rnacentral:rRNA from 1 species